GGGCCCAUAGUAAAGUGGCAUUACGCCGCAUUCGCAUUGCGGAGGCGGGAGUCCGAUUCUCCCUGGGUCCA
rnacentral:tRNA from 1 species